rnacentral:lncRNA from 1 species
ACGCUCUUCUGUUCUACAAACUCUUGACAUUGUUAUGGUGUAUUUGAAAUAAUCGUAAUGAUAAGGUGUGGAACAAAAAUCAUAACGUGCCUCGACAAGUUGGUAGAAAUGCUUUUGAAUUGUGGAAUGACUAGUUAGUUGUGAACAAGCUGCAGUCUCGGCAUAGAAGUUCUCACAUAUGUCAUUUUAUGUAAACUUUGAUGUCAAAUUUUAUAUGAGACAAGAGAAUUUGAUUGAUUUUACUCUUGUUAGGACGGCUAUUUCUGUUGGAAGGAAGCUUUAAUAGGUGGAGAAAGUGUUUAAGUAUUUGAGAGAGGAUAUGAAACUUGUUGGAAGGGAAUGUUACUUAUAUUAUUGAGUGUUUGUAAUUUUUUUGGCUUGAUACAAGUUCAUCACCUCUAUUUAUACUAGUGGCAUCCCUAAAUCAAUGACUAGGAUUUUGCCACCACAAAGUUGAUCUAAUGGCUAUAAACUACUCUCUAGAAUUUUCCCUACCAUUCUACAUAAAUCUUAACUUAUCCUUAUUUUCUAGAGAGCUCCAUGGAUUUCUCUAGAAUAGGCUUCUAGAAAUUGGACUUUCUACAUCACUAAUUUGGACUUAAAACUCCCAAGGCCCAAAACUAACAAACCCAAAAUCAAUUUAUAUAUUCAACAAUUUUGUGGGCAACUAAUUUCCAUAAU